GGCCGGGUUUUAGUAUAUACGAGUUUUUUUUUUUUUUGAAAUAAAAAAAGGAGCAAUACCCCCUCUUGAUAGAACAAGAGGAGGUUAUUGCUCCUUUUAGAUAUUUUCAAUCUCGGC
rnacentral:misc_RNA from 1 species